rnacentral:rRNA from 1 species
UCCUACCUGGUUGAUCCUGCCAGUAGUCAUAUGCUUGUCUCAGAUUAAGCCAUGCAUGUCUGAGUUCGCACCCAUCACGCACGGGCAAACCGCGAAUGGCUCAUUAAAUCAGUCCGGGUUCCUUAGGCGACACGGCCCUCGCGGGCAGAUACGGAUAACUGUGGCAAAUCCAGAGCUAAUACGUGCGCUUCGAGCCCCGACCCGCCUCCCCUGGCGGGGAAGGGCGCUUUUAUUAGUACAAGACCGGCGUCCGUCGCCCUCCCGCGAGGGGGGGCCGGACCCUCGUCAGGCGAACUCUGGAUAACGCUUGCCCGACCGCUCCGUCCCUCGAGGACGGCGGCGCGCCUUUCAAGCGUCUGCCCUAUCAAAUGUCGACGGUAGGCCACACGCCAACCGUGUUGACGACGGGUGACGGGGAUAUCGGGGUUCGGUUCCGGAGAGGGAGCACGAGAAACGGCUACCACAUUCCAAGGAAGGCAGCAGGCGCGCAACUUACCCACUCCCGGCCCGGGGAGGUAGUGACGAGAAAUAACGAUGCGGGUCUCGAGUCGGGCCCCGCGGUCGGAAUGAGCGUAGUCCAAACCCUGACGGCGACGACCCACCGGAGGGCAAGCCUGGUGCCAGCAGCCGCGGUAAUUCCAGCUCCGGUAGCGUAUAUUAAAACUGCUGCAGUUAAAAAGCUCGUAGUUGGAUCUCGAGGCGGGCCGCGCGGCCGUGCGGUUGGGUCGGGCCCCGGAGCGGGGCGCGUCGCGCGAGUCGGCGCUCUCGCGGCAGCGGCGCGGGCGGGGGUGGCCUUAAAACCCUCCCGUCGGCUCGCGGUCGCGGGCGCCGGCCCCGGGCGGCGCGUCGCUCUCCGGCGGAUUUCCCGGCCCGCCCCGGCCCGCGGUCCCGCCUUUAAACUCGCCGGCUCUCUCCCGCGGCCGCUCUUCGCUGGGCGGCGCGGGCGGCCGGUCUUUUACCUUGAAAAAAUUAGAGUGUUCAAGGCAGGCAGGACGCGCCCGGAUAAACUCGCAUGGGAUGAUGAAACAGGACCGCCGUCCCGUUUCGGCCGGUCUCAGGGUACGGAGGUAAUGAUUUAAAGGGACGGCCGGGGGCAUCCGUACCGCGGCGGGAGAGGUGAAAUUCGAUGAUCGUCGCGAGACGUCCGAGAGCGAAAGCAUUUGUCAAGAGCGCUUUCUUUAAUCAAGAACGAAAGUCGGAGGCUCGAAGACGAUCAGAUACCGUCGUAGUUCCGACCGUAAACGAUGCCGACCGGCGAUCCGCGGAAAGUCUCGCACGGACUGCGCGGGCGGCCCCCCGGGAAACCAGAGUCUUUGGGUUCCGGGGGGAGUAUGGUCGCAAAGCUGAAACUUAAAGGAAUUGACGGAAGGGCACCACCAGGAGUGGGGUCUGCGGCUUAAUUUGACUCAACACGGGAAAACUCACCCGGUCCGGACACCGCCAGGAUUGACAGACCGAGGCUCUUUCUUGAUUCGGUGGGUGGUGGUGCAUGGCCGUUCUUAGUUGGUGGAGCGAUCUGUCUGGUUAAUUCCGAUAACGAACGAGACUCCGGCCUGCUAGUUAGCGCGACGGCGUCCGGCGGCCUCGGCGGGCGGUCGCGCCCCCUCGCUUCGGCGGGGGCGGCGUCCGGCCGUCCGUCGGUCGCCCGCCGUCGCUACCCCGAGGCUUCUUAGAGGGACGGGCGGUGGCCAGCCGCACGAGAAGGAGCGAUAACAGGUCUGUGAUGCCCUUAGACGUCCGGGGCCGCACGCGUGCUACACUGGGGGAGCCAGCGCGGACGGCGUCCCGGCCCGAAGGGCGUCGGGAAAGCCGCUGAGUCUCCCCCGUGCUCGGGACCGGGGCUUGGCCAUUGUGCCCCGCCAACGAGGAAUUCCCCGUAGCGCGGGUCAUAACCCCGCGCCGAUUACGUCCCUGCCCUUUGUACACACCGCCCGUCGCUACCAUCGGUGAACGGUCUAGCGAGGGCCUCGGACCGGAGCGAGCGCCGCCCUUCGCGGGGCCGGCGGCGCGCCGGGAAGACGCCCGAACUCGGUCGCUCGGAGAUAGUAAAAGUCGUAACAAGGUUUCCGUAGUGAACCUGCGGAAGGAUCAUUA